rfam:Mycobacterium riyadhense strain DSM 45176 contig_128, whole genome shotgun sequence.
CGCUCUAGCGCGGGAGAGUUCUGUAGCUGCCAGCUGCGGACGCCGAAGGAGCAAUACCUCUCCGUCAACCUCUCAGGCACCAGGACCGCGCCAGAUCA